UACGUAGGGGGCGAGCGUUGUCCGGAAUUAUUGGGCGUAAAGAGCGUGUAGGCGGUUCGGUAAGUCUGCUGUGAAAUCCUGGGGCUCAACCCCGGGCGUGCAGCGGAUACUGCCGGGCUAGAGGGUGGUAGAGGCGAGUGGAAUUCCGAGUGUAGCGGUGAAAUGCGCAGAUAUUCGGAGGAACACCAGUAGCGAAGGCGGCUCGCUGGGCCACACCUGACGCUGAGACGCGAAAGCGUGGGGAGCGAACAGG
rnacentral:rRNA from 1 species